UAACCCUCUCCACUACGGGUAGGUCUAACCCCCUCUAACCCUCCCCACUACGGGUAGGUCUAACUCUCCCCGCUACGGGUAGGUCUAACUCUCCCCGCUACGGGUAGGUCUAACUCUCCCCGCUACGGGUAGGUCUAACUCUCCCCGCUACGGGUAGGUCUAACUCUCCCCGCUACGGGUAGGUCUAACUCUCCCCGCUACGGGUAGGUCUAACUCUCCCCGCUACGGGUAGGUCUAACUCUCCCCGCUACGGGUAGGUCUAACUCUCCCCGCUACGGGUAGGUCUAACUCUCCCCGCUACGGGUAGGUCUAACUCUCCCCGCUACGGGUAGGUCUAACUCUCCCCGCUACGGGUAGGUCUAA